rnacentral:rRNA from 1 species
UACGACUACAUAUCAGGCAUAUCAAUAAGCGGAGGAAAAGAAACUAACAAGGAUUCCCUUAGUAACGGCGAGUGAAGCGGGAAGAGCUCAAAUUUGAAAUCUUCAAGGUUUUACCUUGACGAAUUGUAGGUUUAAAGAAGUGUUUUCUGUUGAAGUUUUGGUAUAAGUUCUUUGGAAUAGGACAUCAUAGAGGGUGAGAAUCCCGUAUUUGACCAUUAUUUUCAGCUGUGUGAUACACUUUCAAAGAGUCGGAUUGUUUGGGAAUGCAGUCCAAAAUGGGUGGUAAAUUUCAUCUAAAGCUAAAUAUUGGCGAGAGACCGAUAGCGAACAAGUACCGUGAGGGAAAGAUGAAAAGAACUUUGAAAAGAGAGUUAAACAGUACGUGAAAUUGUCAAAAGGGAAGCGUUUGACACCAGUGUUGUUUUCUCGAAAAUCAAUUAAAAAAAGUUGGAUUUUGUGUUGUAUUGACCUUAACAGCUUGCUUCACUCCUUUUCCAGCUUUUUUUAAUGCACUUUUCGUUUAACAAGUCAACAUCAGUUUCUUUUGUUGUAAAAGGGUCAUUGGAAGGUGGCUUUCUCUUCGGAGAAAGUGUUUAUAGCCUUUGAUCUCUGCAAUCGGAGAGACUGAGGUCUGCAGCGUAGAUCCUUCGGGGUUAGAUACAUUUGUGCUAAGCUUACUAGCUUUUCAUAGACAACUUGUUGACUAUGUAUUAGUCAUUGUAGACUUACCUCGCUUAUGCUAUUUUACCUACGCUUAGGAUGUUGAGCGCAUGUCUCUCUCU